CCUACGGGAGGCUGCAGUGGGGAAUCUUCCGCAAUGGACGAAAGUCUGACGGAGCAACGCCGCGUGAGUGAAGAAGGUUUUCGGAUCGUAAAACUCUGUCUUUUGGGACGAAAGUGUUUUUUGCGAAUAGUGAGAAGCAGUGACGGUACCGAAGGAGGAAGCCACGGCUAACUACGUGCCAGCAGCCGCGGUAAUACGUAGGUGGCAAGCGUUGUCCGGAAUUAUUGGGCGUAAAGCGCGCGCAGGCGGGAUAGCAAGUCUGUUGUGAAAUUGCGGGGCUCAACCCCGUAUUGGCAAUGGAAACUGUUAUUCUUGAGAGCAGGAGAGGAAAGCGGAAUUCCCAGUGUAGCGGUGAAAUGCGUAGAUAUUGGGAGGAACACCAGUGGCGAAGGCGGCUUUCUGGACUGUGUCUGACGCUGAGGCGCGAAAGCCAGGGUAGCGAACGGGAUUAGAUACCCUAGUAGUC
rnacentral:rRNA from 1 species